GCAUGAUUGUCAUCUUCAAUUUGAGACUCUCACUUAAAGUCCUUUUACUGUUCCAUAUCAGGAAAAAGUUCAUGAGCUGAAACAUGCGAUUGGGGAAAAAGGAAAAGCAUUAGGAAAAAGCCUGCAUGGGGAGAAAAGUUUUGAACUUUGAAAAGGGAGGUGUGACAAAAACAUUUUGACAGUUGUUGAUUUCCACUAAAACCAAUAUCCACAAGAAAGAGGACAUAGUUUUAUGUUGAUUCACAACUUUAAAUUCAAGAAUGUACAUGCAGUUGGUUUUAUUAUAAAACAUGUCACAUACAAAAAACAUAUUUGUGAAAUGAACUCUGUCUUUGAUGUGUAUGUGAUUUCCAGAUAGGAUGUGUGCAACAUAUACUGCCAAGAAUCUCGAUGCUUUUGAUCUUAUGUUUAUAAAAAAUAAUGUUUUGUAUUGUAAUAAACAAAGUUAAAGUCAGCUUUUUCUUAAUAUGUAUAUUAAUUAUGAUGUUUACAUUUCCGCAACUUAUCAAUUUGGAAGAAAAAUCUUAUUCAUAAUUUGAAUAAGGCUUCAUUCACUGGAAUUGAAAACGGAAAUUAUUAACUUUUGUGGUUAUUAAAGAUGGUAUUCAAUUAAAUUUAAGGUUUGUAAUUAUCAGAUUGUGGUUAUUAAAGAUGGUAUUUAAUUAAAUUUAAGGUCUGUAAUUAUCAGAUUUAAUAUAUCCUAAAUACUGUGUUUAAUGGUUGUAAAUAUUAACUUUACUUUUUUGUAAAGUCAAGACAAUGUGGGACAUUACAUCAUAUUUAAGUGCAUGUAAAGUUAAUGUAAAGGUUACCUUUUCCAACUUUGACUUUUUUCAGAAAAGCCAAUUAAAGGCAUUGUAAAUAAUAAA